GGAUUGCCCCAGUAACGGCGAGUGAAGCGGCAACAGCUCAAAUUUGAAAUCUGGUCCCCCCGCGGGGCCCGAGUUGUAAUUUGAAGAGGAUGCUUCUGGCAAGGUGCCGUCCGAGUUCCCUGGAACGGGACGCCGCAGAGGGUGAGAGCCCCGUACGGUCGGAUGCCGAGCCUCUGUGAAGCUCCUUCGACGAGUCGAGUAGUUUGGGAAUGCUGCUCAAAAUGGGAGGUAAACCCCUUCUAAAGCUAAAUACCGGCCAGAGACCGAUAGCGCACAAGUAGAGUGAUCGAAAGAUGAAAAGCACUUUGAAAAGAGAGUUAAAAAGCACGUGAAAUUGUUGAAAGGGAAGCGCUUGCGACCAGACUCGCGCCCGUCGGAUCAGCCGUCGCUCGUCGGCGGCGCACUCCGGCGGGCUCGGGCCAGCAUCAGUUCGCCUCGGGGGGAGAAAGGCGGCAGGAAUGUGGCUCUACGGAGUGUUAUAGCCUGCCGUACAAUACCCCCGGGCGGACUGAGGACCGCGCGUAUGCAAGGAUGCUGGCGUAAUGGUCGUCAGCGACCCGUCUUGAAACACGGACCAAGGAGUCGUCCUAAUAUGCGAGUGUACGGGUGUCAAACCCCUGCGCGUAAUGAAAGUGAACGGAGGUGAGAGCUUCGGCGCAUCAUCGACCGAUCCUGAUGUUCUCGGAUGGAUUUGAGUAAGAGCAUAUUGGGCCGGACCCGAAAGAAGGUGAACUAUGCCUGUGUAGGGUAAAGCCAGAGGAAACUCUGGUGGAGGCUCGCAGCGGUUCUGACGUGCAAAUCGAUCGUCAAACAUGGGCAUGGGGGCGAAAGACUAAUCGAA
rnacentral:rRNA from 1 species